GAAGGACGGGACAAACACCGAUAUGUCCUGGGGAGCCGUACGUAGGCAUUGAUCCAGGAAUUUCCGAAUGGGGAAACCCACUGCUCGUAAUGGAGUAGUACAUGUAUCUGAAUACAUAGGAUACAUGAGGCAGACCCGGGGAACUGAAACAUCUAAGUACCCGGAGGAAGAGAAAGCAAAUGCGAUUUCCUGAGUAGCGGCGAGCGAAACGGAAACAGCCCAAACCAGAAAGCUUGCUUUCUGGGGUUGUAGGACACUCUAUACGGAGUUACAAAGAAAUACUUUAGACGAAUCGAUCUGGAAAGAUCAGCCAAAGAGGGUAACAGCCCUGUAGUCGAAAAAGUGUUUCCUCCAGAGUGGAUCCUGAGUACGGCGGAACACGUGAAAUUCCGUCGGAAUCCGGGAGGACCAUCUCCCAAGGCUAAAUACUCCCUAGUGACCGAUAGUGAACCAGUACCGUGAGGGAAAGGUGAAAAGCACCCCGGAAGGGGAGUGAAAUAGUACCUGAAACCGUGUGCCUACAAGUAGUCGGAGCGCGUUAAUGCGUGACGGCGUACCUUUUGUAGAAUGGACCGGCGAGUUACGAUCUCCUGCAAGGUUAAGUCGCAUAGACGGAGCCGCAGCGAAAGCGAGUCUGAAUAGGGCGCUUUUAGUAGUAGGUCGUAGACCCGAAACCGUGUGAUCUACCCAUGUCCAGGGUGAAGGUCAGGUAACACUGACUGGAGGCCCGAACCCACGCACGUUGAAAAGUGCGGGGAUGAGGUGUGGGUAGGGGUGAAAUGCCAAUCGAACACGGAGAUAGCUGGUUCUCUCCGAAAUAGCUUUAGGGCUAGCCUCAAGAGUUGAGUACUGGAGGUAGAGCACUGAUUGGACUAGGGGCCCUCACCGGGUUACCGAAUUCAGUCAAACUCCGAAUGCCAAAUACUCUAUCUUGGGAGUCAGACUAUGGGUGAUAAGGUUCAUAGUCGAAAGGGAAACAGCCCAGACCGUCAGCUAAGGUCCCAAAGUAUACGUUAAGUGGAAAAGGAUGUGGAGUUGCUUAGACAACCAGGAUGUUGGCUUAGAAGCAGCCACCAUUUAAAGAGUGCGUAAUAGCUCACUGGUCGAGUGACUCUGCGCCGAAAAUGUACCGGGGCUAAACGUAUCACCGAAGCUACGGAUUGCGAAAGAAUUACUCUUUCGCUUUGGUAGGAGAGCGUUCUAAGUGCUGUGAAGUCAGACCGUGAGGACUGGUGGAGCGCUUAGAAGUGAGAAUGCCGGUAUGAGUAGCGAAAUAGAAGUGAGAAUCUUCUACACCGAAUGCCUAAGGUUUCCUGAGGAAGGCUCGUCCGCUCAGGGUUAGUCGGGACCUAAGCCGAGGCCGAAAGGCGUAGGCGAUGGACAACAGGUUGAUAUUCCUGUACCACCUCUAGACCGUUUGAACGAUGGGGGGACGCAGUAGGAUAAGGAAAGCGCGCUGCUGGUUAUGCGCGCCCAAGCAGUGAGACUGUUGGAUAGGCAAAUCCGUCCAACUUAAGGUUGAGCUGUGAUGGGGAGGGAAAUAUAGUACCGAAGUUCCUGAUUUCACACUGCCAAGAAAAGCCUCUAGUAAGGUCUAUGGUGCCCGUACCGCAAACCGACACAGGUAGGCGAGGAGAGAAUCCUAAGGUGAUCGGGAGAACUCUCGUUAAGGAACUCGGCAAAAUGACCCCGUAACUUCGGGAGAAGGGGUGCUUCUUGCAUGAGAAGCCGCAGUGAAAAGGCCCAAGCGACUGUUUAGCAAAAACACAGGUCUCUGCGAAGCCGUAAGGCGAAGUAUAGGGGCUGACACCUGCCCGGUGCUGGAAGGUUAAGGGGACAUGUUAGCCG
rnacentral:rRNA from 1 species